UACGUAGGGUGCAAGCGUUGUCCGGAAUUAUUGGGCGUAAAGAGCUCGUAGGCGGUUUGUCGCGUCGGCUGUGAAAACUCGGGGCUCAACCCCGAGCCUGCAGUCGAUACGGGCAAACUAGAGUGUGGUAGGGGAGACUGGAAUUCCUGGUGUAGCGGUGAAAUGCGCAGAUAUCGGGAGGAACACCGGUGGCGAAGGCGGUUCUCUGGGCCUUACCUGACGCUGAGGAGCGAAAGCGUGGGGAGCAAACAGG
rnacentral:rRNA from 1 species